UGAGACCGACAAGGGGCAAUGAUUGAGGGGCACAUUGGAGUGAUUAUCAUGGGAAUCUGAUACGGAAGCAGAAGCGGUGGUGAUGACUGAUGAUAUGUGUGAAGAGAACAGACAGACACAUUAAGUGGGGAAGUCGGCGCGUCGACGUUGGACUGAAGAUACAAGGAAGUGCCAGGUGCUGUCUAAUACUACUCAUUUGUUUUUUUGUGAUGUGAGUGACCACUUUUGAUUCAAAACCUUUCUGCCUGUCUAAAUGUUCUAAUUCAAUAGUGUGUUGACCCAAAACCCAAAUCUAUAAAACUGAAAAUGAAUCUGUCCAACUUAAAAUUAUUUCGAGACUUAGUUGGACUAUUAACUUGUUAGAUGGAUGAUCAUUUAAUUUCUCAUAUUUUUUAUUUUUUAUUGAAUUUUAGUUUUUAACAGUGUAAAAUAUAUUAUUAGAUCUUACCUUUUCAUAGGCUAUUGAGGAGUGAAUGAAGAAACGUAAAUAGUGGAUAAACAAUCUCUUAUUAAUUAAAUUAAUCUCAUGAAUUUAAGGAAAUUGGAUAUUUGGCUGUGUGAAUAUGUUUUGUGAGUGAGAUAGAAAGACAUGAUAAGAGAGAAAUUUUGAGAUGAGAAUGAGAGAGUAAAAUGAUGAAAUUUUGAGAUGAGGAUGAGAGAGUAAAAUGAUGAGAGAGAGUAAAAUGAUGAAAGAGAGAUAUAGAGAUAAAUUGUUGCAUAGAGUGUACUAGAGAUGAUACUCCGUGUAUAUAAAUCUAAAUUUAAGAUAUAAAUAUAUAGGGUUUCUUUUUUAAAUCAAUGUAACCCAUAUGCAAAUGUGGAGAUUAAUUCUCUAAAUAAAUGAGAUUUAUUUAAAAGAUUGAUUUCUUCCAACAUAUAAUUUUGUUAACCUUGUGUGUUAGUGUCGUGUACAAUGUCUUUGCCAGUGUUUCAUAGGUUGUUCUUUUUACUUAGUGUUUAUACUUAUUGUGCAUAUCAUGCAUAUGUCAAUACAAUAGAAGAAGAAUCGUUGACGAGGUUGAUUUCUCAACUAAAUUCUAUAUCGAUAAUCGUACCAGCAUGAGGGAUGGUGAAGAUGCUUAGGAUUUUGAAAUCUUAUGGACUUGUUGGAUUAUGAUAAAUGAUAUUUCACAUCUUUUGUAUAUGAAUAAAUAACAAUAAUAAUAGUAACAUGUGAAAAUGUUCAGAAUCAAACAUGUUUCUUUUAUAAAAAAAAAU
rnacentral:lncRNA from 1 species